rnacentral:rRNA from 1 species
AGUGAACGCUGGCGGUAGGCCUAACACAUGCAAGUCGAACGGCAGCACAGUAAGAGCUUGCUCUUACGGGUGUCGAGUGGCGGACGGGUGAGGAAUACAUCGGAAUCUACUUUUUCGUGGGGGAUAACGUAGGGAAACUUACGCUAAUACCGCAUACGACCUACGGGUGAAAGCAGGGGAUCUUCGGACCUUGCGCGAUUGAAUGAGCCGAUGUCGGAUUAGCUAGUUGGCGGGGUAAAGGCCCUCCAAGGCGACGAUCCGUAGCUGGUCUGAGAGGAUGAUCAGCCAGACUGGAACUGAGACACGGCCCAGACUCCUACGGGAGGACGCAGUGGGGAAUAUUGGACGAUGGGGGAAAGCCUGAUCCAGCCAUACCGCGUGGGUGCAGAAGGAGUUCGGGUUGGAAAGCCCUUUUGUUGGGAAAGAAAAGCAGCAGGUUAAUACCCCGCUGUUCUGACGGUACCCAAAGAAUAAGCACCGGCUAACUUCGUG